AUUGAACGCUGGCGGCAGGCCUAACACAUGCAAGUCGAGCGGAGCGGCGGACGGGUGAGUAAUUCCUAGGAAUCUGCCUUGUCUUGGGGAAUAACGUCCGGAACCGGGCGCUAAUCCCGCAUACUAUCAGAUGAGCCUAGGUCGGAUUAGCUAGUUGGUAUGGUAAAGGCCUAACAAGGCGACGAUCCGUAACUGGUCUGAGAGGAUGAUCAGUCACACUGGAACUGAGACACGGUCCAGACUCCUACGGGAGGCAGCAGUGGGGAAUAUUGGACAAUGGGCGAAAGCCUGAUCCAGCCAUGCCGCGUGUGUGAAGAAGGUCUUCGGAUUGUAAAGCACUUUAAGUUGGGAGGCGGUACCAACAGAAUAAGCACCGGCUAACUACGUGCCAGCAGCCGCGGUAAUUC
rnacentral:rRNA from 1 species